UGCUGGCUGGUGGGUUUGCUUCCGUCUUAAGAUUUCAGACCACAAACGAAUGAAUUGGAAAUAUUCUUAACAGUUUGUUUACAAUUCUGGGCGCAAGCGCACGUAUUUUGAAUUUAAUUCGUUCGCUUAAUGUUACAACAGACGGUGUAGCUAAAACAACCAACAUCUGUGCGUAGACAGCAGCUGAAUAAAGAGAAAAUUAUAGCAAAGCACUUGUGAAAGACACAACAUAAAGAAAAUGUGAAAGAAAAAAAAACCCACUUAUAAUGGAAUUGGCGAUGUUCUUUACAAAAAUUUGAGAGUAAAUAUUUUGCAAAUCAACUGGAAAGAAAUAGGUACGCACAAAAAAAAAAAAAAUACAUAA
rnacentral:sRNA from 1 species